AUCAUUUAGAGGAAGGAGAAGUCGUAACAAGGUUUCCGUAGGUGAACCUGCGGAAGGAUCAUUGUCGAAUCCUGCCAAGCAGUACAACCCGUGAACAUGUUAGCAAAUGUGUCGAGGGGUAAUGGUGUCGUUGGCUCUAUUUCCUCUUGACUGGCCCAUGUGGCCAAGAUAACCAACCCCGGCGCGGAUUGCGCCAAGGAAUUGUGAUAAGUGAAACGUUUGCCCUAUGCCAUCUAACACAAAGAUUGUUUAGGGUCAUGCGUGAUAUGUAUUAUAAAGAACGACUCUCGGCAACGGAUAUCUCGGCUCUCGCAUCGAUGAAGAACGUAGCGAAAUGCGAUACUUGGUGUGAAUUGCAGAAUCCCGUGAACCAUCGAGUCUUUGAACGCAAGUUGCGCCCCAAGCCUUCGGGUCGAGGGCACGUCUGCCUGGGUGUCACGCAUCGUAGCCCCUACCAUAUGUUGGUGUGAGGCUGAUAAUGGCUCUCCCGUCCUCAUGGUAGUGCGGUUGGCUUAAAUAUAGUAACCCUAAUGUGGUGUAUGCCAUGAUGAGCGGUGGUUUGUCUACGCUUGCCCUCGUUAAGUCAUCGUGUGCAGCAUGUCAUUAGAGUUGGUUGCCUUUGUACUUCGAUCCUUAAUUCACAGAUAGUGCACAUCGCGACCCCAGGUCAGGCGGGAAUACCCGCUGAGUUUAAGCAUA
rnacentral:misc_RNA from 1 species